GACGAACGCUGGCGGCGUGCUUAAUACAUGCAAGUCGAACGGAAAGGCCCUGCUCUUGUGGGGUGCUCGUGUGCCGAACGCGUGAGUAUCACGCGUGUAACCUGCCCUUGACUUUGGGAUAACUUCUGGGAACUGGGGCGCUAAUCCCAUAUGAGCUCCUGCUGCACGGUGGUGAUUGGUAAGUUUCGGCGGUUCGGGAUGGACUCGCGGCUUAUCCGCUUGUUGGUGGGGUAGUGGCUUACCAAGGCUUUGACGGGUAGCCGGCCUGAGAGGGUGACCGGCCACAAUGGGACUGAGGGACGGCCCAGAGUGCUACGGGAGGCAGCAGUGGGAAACAUUGCACGAGGGGCGGAGGGCGGGUGCAGCAACGCCGCGUGCGGGAAGACGGUCUUCGGGGUGUAAACCGAUUGCGCCUGUAACGAAGCUUGAGUGACGGUAAUGGGUAAAGAAGCACCGGCUAACUACGCG
rnacentral:rRNA from 1 species